CACUAUGAUGGAAAACUGGGGAGGCAGCACCAGACUGGCCAGAGAAUGACGUGGCAAAUGACCUCCCAGCACUAUCGGGAA